GCCAGUGUAGUGUAGUGGUUUGAAUGUUGGAUUAUGACUCUGGAGGCCAUGGUUCAAAUCCCUGCUCAACA